rnacentral:rRNA from 1 species
GAUGAACGCUGGCGGCGUGCCUAAUACAUGCAAGUCGAGCGAACAGACGAGGAGCUUGCUCCUCUGACGUUAGCGGCGGACGGGUGAGUAACACGUGGAUAACCUACCUAUAAGACUGGGAUAACUUCGGGAAACCGGAGCUAAUACCGGAUAAUAUAUUGAACCGCAUGGUUCAAUAGUGAAAGACGGUUUUGCUGUCACUUAUAGAUGGAUCCGCGCCGCAUUAGCUAGUUGGUAAGGUAACGGCUUACCAAGGCAACGAUGCGUAGUCGACCUGAGAGGGUGAUCGGCCACACUGGAACUGAGACACGGUCCAGACUCCUACGGGAGGCAGCAGUAGGGAAUCUUCCGCAAUGGGCGAAAGCCUGACGGAGCAACGCCGCGUGAGUGAUGAAGGUCUUCGGAUCGUAAAACUCUGUUAUUAGGGAAGAACAAAUGUGUAAGUAACUAUGCACGUCUUGACGGUACCUAAUCAGAAAGCCACGGCUAACUACGUGC